UACGUAGGUGACAAGCGUUGUCCGGAUUUAUUGGGUUUAAAGGGUGCGUAGGUGGCCCUGUAAGUCAGUGGUGAAAUAUCUCAGCUUAACUGAGAGGGUGCCAUUGAUACUGCAGGGCUUGAGUACAGAUGAGGUAGGCGGAAUUGACGGUGUAGCGGUGAAAUGCAUAGAUAUCGUCAAGAACACCGAUAGCGAAGGCAGCUUACCAAGCUGUAACUGACACUGAGGCACGAAAGUGUGGGGAUCAAACAGG
rnacentral:rRNA from 1 species